rnacentral:rRNA from 1 species
GGAAUUGCGGCUGCCUUACCAUGCAGUCGCCGGCAGCGGGGGUAGCUUGCUACCUGCCGGCGAGUGGCGAACGGGUGAGUAAUACAUCGGAACGUGCCCUAUAGUGGGGGAUAACUAGUCGAAAGACUAGCUAAUACCGCAUACGACCUGAGGGUGAAAGUGGGGGACCGCAAGGCCUCAUGCUAUAGGAGCGGCCGAUGUCUGAUUAGCUAGUUGGUGGGGUAAAGGCCCACCAAGGCGACGAUCAGUAGCUGGUCUGAGAGGACGAUCAGCCACACUGGGACUGAGACACGGCCCAGACUCCUACGGGAGGCAGCAGUGGGGAAUUUUGGACAAUGGGGGCAACCCUGAUCCAGCAAUGCCGCGUGUGUGAAGAAGGCCUUCGGGUUGUAAAGCACUUUUGUCCGGAAAGAAAUCGCACUGGUUAAUACCUGGUGUGGAUGACGGUACCGGAAGAAUAAGGACCGGCUAACUACGUGCCAGCAGCCGCGGUAAUACGUAGGGUCCAAGCGUUAAUCGGAAUUACUGGGCGUAAAGCGUGCGCAGGCGGUUGUGCAAGACCGAUGUGAAAUCCCCGGGCUUAACCUGGGAAUUGCAUUGGUGACUGCACGGCUAGAGUGUGUCAGAGGGAGGUAGAAUUCCACGUGUAGCAGUGAAAUGCGUAGAGAUGUGGAGGAAUACCGAUGGCGAAGGCAGCCUCCUGGGAUACACUGACGCUCAUGCACGAAAGCGUGGGGAGCAAACAGGAUUAGAUACCCUGGUAGUCCACGCCCUAAACGAUGUCAACUAAUUUGUUGGGGAUUCAUUUCCUUAGUAACGUAGCUAACGCGGGAGGUGGACCGCCUGGGGAGCAACGUCACAAGAUUAAACUUCAAG